rnacentral:rRNA from 1 species
AUUGAACGCUGGCGGCAUGCCUUACACAUGCAAGUCGAACGGCAGCACGGGUGCUUGCACCUGGUGGCGAGUGGCGAACGGGUGAGUAAUACAUCGGAACGUACCUUAUCGUGGGGGAUAACGCAGCGAAAGCUGUGCUAAUACCGCAUACGCCCUGAGGGGGAAAGCGGGGGAUCGCAAGACCUCGCGCGAUUAGAGCGGCCGAUGCCUGAUUAGCUUGUUGGUGGGGUAAAAGCCCACCAAGGCGACGAUCAGUAGCUGGUCUGAGAGGACGAUCAGCCACACUGGGACUGAGACACGGCCCAGACUCCUACGGGAGGCAGCAGUGGGGAAUUUUGGACAAUGGGGGCAACCCUGAUCCAGCGAUGCCGCGUGAGUGAAGAAGGCCUUCGGGUUGUAAAGCUCUUUUGUCAGGGAAGAAACACCGGCUCUAACACAGUCCGGGAAUGACGGUACCUGAAGAAUAAGCACCGGCUAACUACGUGCCAGCAGCCGCCGCUG